GCAUUGUUGGUUCAAUGGUAGAAUUCUUGCCUCCCAUGCGGGAGACCCAGGUUUGAUUCCCAGCCAAUGUG
rnacentral:tRNA from 1 species